rnacentral:lncRNA from 1 species
CCAAAGCUUGAUUCACUAAUGAUCACAAAUGUGUCAUUGGAUUUAAGCAUUUCAUUUACAUACACAGCAGGUAUAUUUGAAAUUCAGUGAUGACAACUGAUUCUGCAGAGAGCUUCGCACGUUUUUUGGACAAGAAAAAAAGAAAGAGAAACAAAGAGAAAGAUGGAGUUUAGUUCAUGUGAGACGGAAUCGGCUUUUGCUUUUUCCGCGGCCUUGUCAGCAGCUUCCAUUGUUAUGCGUCCCAAGCUCGCUUCGAGAGAGAGAGGAAAAGGGUCAAGCAGGAAAGGGGGAGGAAGUUAUGAAAGUAUGGAGGAAGGCGGGAGGGGAGGGGAGAUGGGCAAAGAUGGUGGAGAGUGUGGCCUGUCCAGAUACGCGCAGAGAGAGAUGGCGUAGAGAGAGAUGGUCAGCUGCAACUAAAAUGGCAAAAAAAGACCACGAUCUAUUAACCCCUUGCGGAACAUAAACAGAUCAGCGAGCAGGAAGAUGGGGUCGCAGUCCCCGAAGGGAGAUCUCAGUCAAGACAGAC